GAAAGAAGAAGGGGUCAACAUACACUGGGGACAUGCACACCCAGCUUUAUGCAACAUCAUGAGAAGAUGUUAAACCAUAGGGAAUGGCACAAGUUAGCUUUUUGUUUAAUUCCCAGUAUCGUCUUGGGAUUUCUCGCACUCAGGGAACAUGCCUUUGUAAAAUGAACUCUCAGUAGUUGGACAAACAGUGCACCCAUUGUCUAAUGUUUUCUUGUUGCCUUGUUUAGCAGUAAAAGUUUUACCAGCAGCAGCAGCAGUGCAGUUUCCACAGCAUGACUGAAUCAGAAUGAAAGUGGUGGUCUUCUUUGUUCUGGACUUCGCUAUAUUGUUCUUGUCCGAGACGCUUUGUGGACUGUGUACAUUUCAUGUUGUAUGACAAUCCAAACCUCGUCCCAGAUAUUACAUCCUCCUGUAUUGUUUUCCACUCCUGUUCGGUAGUCGCUUACCCAGAGAGAAAACAAACAGACUGUUUGUGACUGUGGUUGAGAUGAAAGUGGCUCUUUUCUUUUUUCUUUUUUUGAAGGGAGUACAGUAGGAGAUCAGACAGGAUGACUGUCAGUGAUAGUCUGCUCCCCUGAAGGCUCUAUGGAGUAAAGAAGCAGCGUGCCUCAGAGCACCGCAUGGUAUCUGUAUGGAUGACAGAGGGGAGAGCGAGGAGGGGAAUUAAGAGUGCCAGCAGCACAUAGGGAAUUCCUGCACGUCUGUCCCCGCGUUGCUUUAGUGUUUGUGUGUUUGUGUGUGUGGUGCUGUCACAGAAGAGCUCCCGCUUUUCCCCUGCUAACCUGCUAAAUGGUCUCCUUUAACCCACCCACCACCGCUAAGUCCUCCCUUUCCACAUGCGGAUGGGGCUACUGUGACAUCACUCAUUCCCACGCACUCUGAUUGGCUAGCCAUUGGAGGGAAGUAAUUUUUUUUCCUGCAGCCUAUAGCGAAAAAUUGAGAGAGAGAGAGAGAAAACGUGGGAGGGAAGGACACAGGUAGAGAGGAUAUGAGAGGGGAAGAGAGAGAGGGAGACUAAGC
ensembl:lncRNA